CUGAAGAAGUCUCUGGUAGACCCUAUUGGCAUGAGGUUUGCCUUGGCCAGCCAGCACGUCAGCAAGUAUAGGAGAUGAACCCACAAAGGUCAAAGACGGCACAAGGAUGGAAAGCCGUGAACAUUAACAGUGGAGCGUUUGCUAUGUGAAAUUGACAAGAACAAACAACCCAAGCACAAUAACACAAAGGAGGAGCAGCACCUUGAAAUCGAUAAAGGUCGAGUGCACCUGCUUGGAAGUGGAGAUUGCAGAACAGGCGAUGCAGAAAUUGCGAAAAUAUUAUCCUUAACCUUAAAACCCUACUUGGUGUAAUAAAACACCCCAGAGUGUUAAGUUUUCUCAUAUUAAGACAUUAGCAUAUAAGAACUAACUAGGUAAAUAAAUAAUUUAAUAAUUCCUAUGUUCAUAAGUAAUCUUUGAUUAAGAGCGAUGAUAGCCUAGUCCUUAAGACUUCUUCCCAAGGUUGGGUGUUCGAUCCCAGCCUUUUACUGUAGUUAUGUGAGUUUUAGGCAAUUGAAUAUAUCAUUUGCUUUAACAGUGAAGGUAAACAACCUGCAUGGCUGAGAGUUCUUUGUAAUGUUCUCAAAGGUGUGUAGAGUCUGCAAAUCCGCACUUGGCCAGCAUGGUGGAUUAUGGCCUCCUUCUAAUAGGAAAGCUGUGCUUGGUAAUAAACCGGUCAUGGGUUGGUGAUGAUGAAAAUGUAAUUUUUUAUUAUGAUGUUUAGGUGAGACAUAAUGCUAGUUCUUAAUACAAAGUUGGCUGCGUAUAUUUAGCAUUUUAGCAUAUUAUAAGUAUUUAUUAGGUAAAAUAUUUCAAUGUUCCUAUGGUCAUAAGUAAACAGUAAAAUAUGUUAAACACAACUAAAGCCAGACUACUAGGGGUGGUGAGAACUGCAUAUAGAUAGCAUCUGCCUAGUAAGUAGACCAUUCCUAAUCAUCUGUCACUUAGUAUAUUAUAGUGUGGCUUUUUAGUUAUUAGUGUACACUGUAUUUUUAUUAUUUUGUAAUAUUGUAUAAUAAUAUGUUAAGCCUUUAUUCACUGAAUUCCAUUGAAUUAAAUUACGUUAAUGCUGUGUAUAUUAUAAUAUAUUUGUUGACAGUG